CCUGAGCUGUCAUAGAAGCAGCCCAGGAACUUUGGUGACCAACCAUGUGGAAAGGGAGAGUGGCCCAUCUGAGCCCAGCCAACUGACAUUUCUACAGACACUAGGCUCUGUGAGUGAAGCCAUCUUGGAGCCUGCAAAUCCAGCCUCAAGCUGCAUACCAUCAAGUUACUUUGUGGUGACAAAACGUGGGGCAGAAGAAUUGCCCACCUGGUCCCUGGCCAAAUUCCUGGACUACAUAUUAGUGAAAUAGAAUCAGCUUUGUUUUAUUUUAAGUCGCUAACAUUCAAAGUAGUUUGUAAUUCAACACUAGAUAACUAGAAUAUAAUUUGGUGCUUAGAAUUUAGGUGCUGAGGAGAAUACCACGUGAAGAUUGAGGGGUAUGAUGUCACAAGCCAAAGACCUCCAAAGAGUUCCAGCAAACCACCAGAAUCUCAGAGAAGGGUAUGGAACGCACGCUUCCUGGAGAUCCUCAGAAAAAAACAAUUCUAAAGACACCUUGCUGUCAGACUUUUGGCCUGCAGGACUGGAAGAAAAUAAAUGUCUGCUGUUCUAAUGAC